rnacentral:rRNA from 1 species
CCCUUAGAUGUUCUGGGCUGCACGCGCGCUACACUGAUGCGCUCAACGAGUUUUAACCUUGCCUGGAAAGGUUGGGUAAUCUUUUUAAAACGCAUCGUGAUGGGGAUAGAUUAUUGCAAUUAUUAAUCUUCAACGAGGAAUUCCUAGUAAGCGCGAGUCAUCAACUCGUGCUGAUUACGUCCCUGCCCUUUGUACACACCGCCCGUCGCUACUACCGAUUGAACGUUUUAGUGAGGUAUUUGGACUGGGCCUUGGGAGGUUUCGGCCUCCCUUGUUGCUCGGAAAGACUCCCAAACUUGAGCGUUUAGAGGAAGUAAAAGUCGUAACA